CCUACGGGUGGCAGCAGUGGGGAAUAUUGCACAAUGGGGGAAACCCUGAUGCAGCAACGCCGCGUGAGUGAAGAAGUAUUUCGGUAUGUAAAGCUCUAUCAGCAGGGAAGAAGAUGCCGGUACCUGACCAACAAGCCCCGGCUAACUCCGGGCAAGCAGCCGCGGUAAUACGUAGGGGGCAAGCGUUAUCCGGAUUUACUGGGUGUAAAGUGAGCGCAGACGGCAGUGCAAGUCUGGAGUGAAAGCCCGGGGCCCAACCCCGGAACUGCGCUGGAAACUGGGAGGCUAGAGUCUGGGAGGGGCAGGCGGAAUUCCUAGUGUAGCGGUGAAAUGCGUAGAUAUUAGGAGGAACACCAGUGGCGAAGGCGGCCAGCUGGACAGUAACUGACGUUGAGGCGCGAAAGCGUGGGGAGCAAACAGGAUUAGAUACCCCGGUAGUC
rnacentral:rRNA from 1 species